UACGGAGGGUGCAAGCGUUAUCCGGAUUUAUUGGGUUUAAAGGGAGCGUAGGCGGGAUUGUAAGUCAGUGGUGAAAGCCCGUAGCUCAACUACGGAACUGCCAUUGAUACUGCAGACCUAGAGUACACUUGAAGUGGGCGGAAUGUGUCAUGUAGCGGUGAAAUGCUUAGAUAUGACACAGAACACCAAAUUGCGAAGGCAGCUCACUAAAUUGUAACUGACGCUG
rnacentral:rRNA from 1 species